AGAAGACAUAUGGGACCCAGAUAAAUCAGACAUUGAAUGCGCUGACGAGAGUCGCUGAGGACCCAAGAGAAAAGGCUUUUUUGGUUUGGAUUUCAUCUGUAUUUCACCACUUGAAAAUUCACUAUUGGCAUCGGGCAUAACCAACCCAGACAUCCUCUAAAGGAGGAGAUACAGAAGUUCUCUUCCCAGGCCCACUCAAAGGGUUCUGGCUCAGACCCUUUUUCCCCAUUCCUUAAGAGAGAAAAAAGACAUAUAUUUUCAAGGUAUAGACUCCCAUCAAGGCACACUGACCCUGAAAAAUGGCUGAGCUAAAAUAAAAGC
rnacentral:lncRNA from 1 species